rnacentral:rRNA from 1 species
AGAACGAACGCUGGCGGCAUGCCUAACACAUGCAAGUCGAACGAGACCUUCGGGUCUAGUGGCGCACGGGUGCGUAACGCGUGGGAAUCUACCCUUAGGUACGGAAUAACAGUUAGAAAUGACUGCUAAUACCGCAUAAUGUCUUCGGACCAAAGAUUUAUCGCCUAGGGAUGAGCCCGCGUAGGAUUAGCUUGUUGGUGAGGUAAAAGCUCACAGGCGACGAUCUAGCUGGUCUGAGAGGAUGAUCAGCCACACGUGGGACUGAGACACGGCCCAGACUCCGUACGGGAGCAGCAGGUAGGGGAAUAGUUAGGAACAAGUGGGAACGAAAGCCGUAGAUCCAGACAAUCGGCCGCGU